AGACGAAGGGAGCGAGCGUUGUUCGGUAUCACUGGGCUUAAAGGGCGCGUAGGCGGCCAGAUGGGUCGGUUGUGAAAUCCCUGGGCUCAACCCAGGAAUGGCUUCCGAAACUAUUUGGCUUGAGGCAUUCUGGGGGCGACUGGAACUCUUGGUGGAGCGGUGAUAUGCGUAGAUAUCAAGAGGAACGCCAGUGGUGAAGACGGGUCGCUGGGAAUGUCCUGACGCUCAGGCGCGAAAGCUAGGGGAGCGAACGGGAUUAGAAACCCUAGUAGUCC
rnacentral:rRNA from 1 species